AGAACGAACGCUGGCGGCAUGCCUAACACAUGCAAGUCGAACGAGACCUUCGGGUCUAGUGGCGCACGGGUGCGUAACGCGUGGGAAUCUGCCCUUAGGUUCGGAAUAACAGCUAGAAAUGACUGCUAAUACCGGAUAAUGUCUUCGGACCAAAGAUUUAUCGCCAAAGGAUGAGCCCGCGUAAGAUUAGCUAGUUGGUGGGGUAAAAGCCUACCAAGGCGACGAUCUUUAGCUGGUCUGAGAGGAUGAUCAGCCACACUGGGACUGAGACACGGCCCAGACUCCUACGGGAGGCAGCAGGUGGGGAAUAGUUGGACAAUGGGCGAAAGCCUGAUCCAAGCAAUGCCGCGUGAGUGAUGAAGGCCUUAGGUGUAAAGCUCUUUACCGGGAUGAUAAUGACAGUACCGGAGAAUACGCCCGCUAACUCCGUGCCAGCGAGCCGA
rnacentral:rRNA from 1 species